rnacentral:rRNA from 1 species
AUACAUGCAAGUCGAACGAGCUUCCGUUGAUUGACGUGCUUGCACUGAUUUCAACCAUGAAGCGAGUGGCGAACUGGUGAGUAACACGUGGGAAAUCUGCCCAGAAGCAGGGGAUAACACUUGGAAACAGGUGCUAAUACCGUAUAACAACAAGAACCGCAUGGUUCUUGUUUGAAAGGUGGUUUCGGCUAUCACUUCUGGAUGAUCCCGCGGCGUAUUAGUUAGUUGGUGAGGUAAAGGCCCACCAAGACAAUGAUACGUAGCCGACCUGAGAGGGUAAUCGGCCACAUUGGGACUGAGACACGGCCCAAACUCCUACGGGAGGCAGCAGUAGGGAAUCUUCCACAAUGGACGAAAGUCUGAUGGAGCAAUGCCGCGUGAGUGAAGAAGGGUUUCGGCUCGUAAAACUCUGUUGUUAAAGAAGAACACCUCUGAGAGUAACUGUUCAGGGGUUGACGGUAUUUAACCAGAAAGCCACGGCUAACUACGUGCCAGCAGCCGCGGUAAUACGUAGGUGGCAAGCGUUGUCCGGAUUUAUUGGGCGUAAAGCGAGCGCAGGCGGUUUCUUAAGUCUGAUGUGAAAGCCUUCGGCUUAACCGGAGAAGUGCAUCGGAAACUGGGUAACUUGAGUGCAGAAGAGGACAGUGGAACUCCAUGUGUAGCGGUGGAAUGCGUAGAUAUAUGGAAGAACACCAGUGGCGAAGGCGGCUGUCUAGUCUGUAACUGACGCUGAGGCUCGAAAG